rnacentral:rRNA from 1 species
GACGAACGCUGGCGGCGUGCUUAACACAUGCAAGUCGAACGGAAAGGCCCUGCUUUUGUGGGGUGCUCGAGUGGCGAACGCGUGAGUAACACGUGAGUAACCUGCCCUUGACUUUGGGAUAACUUCAGGAAACUGGGGCUAAUCCCGGAUAGGAGCUCCUGCUGCAUGGUGGGGGUUGGAAAGUUUCGGCGGUUGGGGAUGGACUCGCGGCUUAUCAGCUUGUUGGUGGGGUAGUGGCUGACCAAGGCUUUGACGGGUAGCCGGCCUGAGAGGGUGACCGGCGACAUGGGGACUGAGAGACGGCCCAGACUCCAACGGGAGGCAGCAGUGGGGAAUAUUGCACAAUGGGCGCAAGCCUGAGGCAGCAACGCCGCGGGCGGGAUGACGGCCUUCGGGUUGUAAACCGCUUUCGCCUGUGACGAAGCGUGAGUGACGGUAAUGGGUAAAGAAGCACCGGCUAACUACGUG